GUGAGGAAUUUUCCGCAAUGGGCGAAAGCCUGACAGAGCAAUGCCGCGUGAAGGAUGAAGGCCUAUGGGUUGUAAACUUCUUUUCUUAGAGAAGAAUAUUGACGGUAUCUGAGGAAUAAGCAUCGGCUAACUCUGUGCCAGCAGCCGCGGUAAGACAGAGGAUGCAAGCGUUAUCCGGAAUGAGUGGGCGUAAAGCGUCUGUAGGUGGCUUCAAAAGUCUCCUGUCAAAGAUCAGGGCUUAACCCUGGGCCGGCAGGAGAAACUCUGAGGCUAGAGUUUGGUAGGGGCAGAGGGAAUUCCCGGUGGAGCGGUGAAAUGCGUAGAGAUCGGGAGGAACACCAAAGGCGAAAGCACUCUGCUGGGCCACAACUGACACUGAGAGACGAAAGCGAGGGGAGCAAAAGGGAUUAGAAACCCGAGUAGUCC
rnacentral:rRNA from 1 species